AUCUCAAAUCAAGGUAGGACUACCCGCUGAACUUAAGCAUAUCAUUUAAGGCGGAGGAA
rnacentral:rRNA from 1 species